CCUACGGGCGGCAGCAGUGAGGAAUAUUGGUCAAUGGACGCGAGUCUGAACCAGCCAUGCCGCGUGAAGGAUGACUGCUCUAUGGGUUGUAAACUUCUUUUAUACAGGGAUAAAUCCCGAUACGUGUGUCUGUUUGAAAGUAUCGUACGAAUAAGGAUCGGCUAACUCCGUGCCAGCAGCCGCGGUAAUACGGAGGAUUCAAGCGUUAUCCGGAUUUAUUGGGUUUAAAGGGUGCGUAGGCGGUUCGAUAAGUUAGAGGUGAAAGUCCGGGGCUCAACCCCGGCACUGCAUCUGAUACUGGCGGGCUAGAGUUUAGUUGCGGUAGGCGGAAUGUAUGGUGUAGCGGUGAAAUGCAUAGAGAUCACACAGAACACCGAUUGCGAAGGCAGCUUACCAAACUACGACUGACGUUGAGGCACGAAAGCGUGGGGAGCAAACAGGAUUAGAUACCCGUGUAGUC
rnacentral:rRNA from 1 species